GUUCGUAGGCACAAAAGCUUAAAUUUUUUGUGGUGUUCUGCCUUUAUUUUGUUUUCUGACUUCUCCCAAUACAAAAGUUUAAAUUUUUUUGUGUUCUUUUGGCAUGUUGUAUGUAGAGAAGGUGGAAAAACACAUUAAAGUUGCGAUUUUUAUCUCAAAAACUUCAUGGGUUCAGAGAAGGUGGAAGAAGACACUGAAGCUGCCAUUUUUUACUCCAAAAAGCUUCCAUUUUUAUCUCAUUUUUAUGUCAAAAGGUUUGUCUCCUUUGUUUCUCUGUCUACAUGUUCGUUUUCUUUGUUUCUUUGUUUCUCCAUCUUCCUUUUUCGUUCCUCUCCAUUCAUCUUCCUUCAUAUUUUGUUUUCUUUGUUUCUUUGUUUCUCCAACUUCCAUUUUCGUUAGUCUUCAUUCCUCUUCAUAUUCCGUUUUACUACUAUUUUUGUUUUAGUUCCAUUUUUGUUUAUGUCGCUGCAUGUUAAUUAUUUUUUAUGAAUCGUUAUUGUAUGUAGAGAAGGUGGAAGGAGACACUAAAGGUGCCAUUUUUAACUCCAAAAACCUUCGAUUUUUAUCUGAUUUUUAUCUCAAACAAGAUUCUUUUCUUUGUUUCUC